UGAAAUGUUUUUCUACUUUUUC
rnacentral:siRNA from 1 species